rnacentral:misc_RNA from 1 species
UACAAGACAACUAUCCAUACAUUUUUUUUAAACUCCAAAUGGGAGAUGGAUAGGUUAAUUCCACACCCCAAAAGAGAAUAUUAUACAAUCCCUCAGUACAAUAUUAAUCCAUCAAUUGCAUUUGGGUAACUCAGCAUUAAUUCUUUGUGUUUUUUACCUCAUUACUCCAUUGUCUCUUAAUUCACAUUAUUGCAUUGUCAACUAAAGAUCUUCCUUCAAAUAACCUUUCCUUUGCCUUGCUUGCCUGUCUUUUCCAAUCUGUGCAGCUUGUUACAAUAGCAAGUAGAACUGUUUGUGUAAAGGCACCAACUUGUAUUCCAAUCCAAAGGCCCCUUCCUCUUAACUUCACCCAGAAUCCCAAUAUUGCAGCAACUGGAAUCCCACAUAGAUAGAAGGCCCCCAGGUUUAUAUAAGCUCCUAUGUGCUGCCAUCCAGACCCCCUUGCAACUCCUGAAAGCACCCCU